AUGUGGGUGCUUCUCCUCGCCUCCAAGGAUGAGGCGGAGCGAGCCAUCGUCAAGCAGCAAGCGGCAGUAGAGGUCGAGUGCGGCCACAAGCUGCGCGUGCUGCACACGGACCAUGGCGGCGAGUUCACGUCGGCCACGUUCUACAAGCACUGCGACGAGAAAGGGGUGCAACGUCACCUGACAGCCCCUUACUCGCCGCAGCAAAAUGGCGUCGUCGAGCGGAGGAACCAAACGGUGCUUGGGAUGGCACGCUGCAUGCUCAAGGCAAAGCAGGUGCCGAGCACGUAUUGGGGGGAGGCCGUGCUCAUGGCCGUCUUCAUCCUCAACCGCUCCUUCACAAGGAGCGUCGAUGGCAAGACGCCUUAUGAGGCGUGGUAUGGAAGGAAGCCCAAUGUACGCUUCCACCGCACUUUUGGCUGCGUCGGGCAUGUCAAGACGGCGUGCCCACAGCUGAAGAAGCUCGACGACAGAAGCACCCCAAUGGUGUUCAUGGGCUACGAGACGGCCUCUAAGGCGUACAAGAUGUAUGACCCCGUCUCAAAGCGUGUGCAUGUCUCUCGCGAUGUAAUCUUCGACGAAGACGUGCGAUGGACUUGGGAGGCGUCGGGGGAGGCCCCGGCAAGCAGCUCCUUUACCGUGGAGUACCCGAUGUACUCUACGACCCCGGGAAGUGCCACCACGGGAAGCUUGGAAGGUGUGGAUCCGGGAACAGCAACCCCGAGAACACCGUCCCCGGGUACGGUGUCACCGGACACCAUAACGUCAAGCAAGGUGGGUCCCGGGAGGCAGUUCGCAACCCCGCCAACGGCGAGGUCGGAGCUGUUCGACGCCGACGACAGCAUUGGCGCCCCCCACAGGUUUCGGCGUAUGGGGGAUCUCCUCGGCGAGCCUGCGGCAACACCGCAACAGCCCAUGGAAGAGGACGUUGAUGACGCUGAUGUCUUGCAUCUGAUGGCCGGCGAGGAGCCGACCACAUUCGUGGAGGCCGAGCAAGAGGAUUGCUGGCGCCACGCGAUGCUGGACGAGCUGGCGUCGAUCAACGACAAUGCCACUUGGACACUCACCACACUGCCUGCUGGGCACCGACCCAUCGGGCUCAAGUGGGUGUUCAAGGUGAAGAAGAACGAGCACGGCGCCAUUGUCAAGCACAAGGCGCGCCUCGUCGCCAAGGGCUACGUACAGCAUGAGGGUGUGGACUUCGAGGUAGUCUUUGCUCCGGUGGCAAGGCUGGAGUCCGUGCGACUCAUCCUUGCGGUGGCUGAUCACCGCGGGUGGGUGGUACACCACAUGGACGUCAAGUCGGCGUUUCUCAAUGGCGACCUCAACGAGGAGGUGUACGUCUCCCAGCCACCUGGGUUCGUUGCCAAGGGCCACGAGCAGGACGUGUAUCGACUACACAAGGCCCUAUGGGGUCUCCGGCAAGCCCCAAGGGCGUGGAACGCCAAGCUUGAUGCAAGCCUCGCAUCCCUUGGGUUCUCACGCAGCGUUUCUGAGCAUGGUGUGUACUCGCGUGGCACCGCGAACACGCUGCUCAUCGUCGGCAUCUACGUCGACGACUUGGUCAUUGCCGAGGCAGAGCCUAAAGAGGUUCAACGCUUCAAGGGAGAGAUGCAUCGUCUCUUCAGCAUGAGCGACCUUGGGCUGCUCCGUUACUACCUCAGGCUGGAUGUGAACCAGGAGGGUGGUCGCAUCACGAUCACGCAGAUGGCCUACGCCACCAAGAUGCUCGAGUGA
rnacentral:rRNA from 1 species